GAUGAAGAACGUAGCGAAAUGCGAUAAGUAGUGUGAAUUGCAGAAUUCAGUGAAUCAUCGAAUCUUUGAACGCACAUUGCGCCCCUUGGUAUUCCAUGGGGCAUGCCUGUUCGAGCGUCAUUUGUACCCUCCAGCCCUGCUGGGUAUUGGGCGUUUUGUUCCGCUACGCGCGUGAACUCGCCUCAAAUGCAUUGGCAGCCCGCCGUCCCGUGUGGGAGCGAAGCACAUUUUGCGCUCUCCGCUGCUGACGGUGGCAUCCACAAGUCUACCAUUUUACGCUUGACCUCGGAUCAGGUAGGGAUACCCGCUGAACUUAAGCAUAUCAAUAAGCGGAGGA
rnacentral:misc_RNA from 1 species